AUAAUGGGAUUUCCUAAUUUGGAGAAUUUGACGUCCUUGCGAUACCUGGUGUUGAGAAAUUGCUCCAUCCAUGAUUCCAUUCCAAAUUAUAUUGGUAAAAUGCAAAACUUAAAUAAAGUAGAUUUGAGCUUCAACAAGUUGACCGGUAAAAUCCCAAACAGUAUAAGUAGCUUGACCUACCUAGAU